UCAACCUGCAAAUCAUUAAAAACCAUCCUAAAGAUCAGUCGAAGAAAGUGACUAUGAAAAUAUGGGCAAAGCAACGCCCACAAUAUCAGCAAAGAAAAGUGGGUUAAACCCCAACUAAACAAGGUUUUCUAUGCUACUAAAAAUGCAUGGUUUUUUCCAUAGUGCUAAAUGUCAUUGGAUUAAAGGGUGAUGCAGAAUUGCAGAUGAUGCUUGAAGAUUGAAGUACCUCAGCAGUGGCCAUUUCAGGUGGUUGAAAGAGAAGAUGGAGAAGAGAAAGGAUGCAAUGGGGUGGCAAAGAUAGCAAAUUGAUUGUGGUGAGAAGAAUGAUCAGAUUGAGAGAGAGGAGGGAUCACCCAAAAAGAAACUACUGUCUACUCCACAAUGAAUCUUUCUAGGCAAGAAAAUCCAUAUGAAGUCCCCCAACAAGAGGUGUUGAAACAUAGAAGGUGAUAAUCAACUCAAAAACCAUCAACAUACUAAAAAGAAGCUUUAACUAGCUUUUCUACAACUCGAUUUUGUUCCCUAGAAAUAUGUACCGUAUAAAUUUCGUAAGUCAUAACUUAUACUCAUAUUAUAUUACUUUUUUAGGGAUUGAGAGUAAAAAUCAAAUAUAUAUUAUGAAAUGGUUGUCUAAACUCUUUAGUGUAUUAGGGUAUAGUUUAUAGGGAAAAUGGCAAAUCCACAUGGUGGUGGAGGCCAUUUUAGAGGGCAAGCCAUAAUCUUUUUCAUGAGUGGUUUAUUUUGUGCUUUGUGUAAGGUGGAUACUGGCUGGCUGGCUGGCUGGGACUAUCAUGCUUUCAUGUUCUUCCAAUUCUACUUGGCUUUUGCCUUUUCCUCUAUAUUUUUGUUUAAUAAUAAUAAUAAUAAUUAAUUAAUUAAUUACUUUCUAUGUUA